UGUGUGUGUGUGUAUGUAUGUGUGUGUGUGUGUGUAUAUAUAUAUACACACACACACACACACACACACACAUU
rnacentral:miRNA from 1 species